rnacentral:lncRNA from 1 species
CCCAAAAAAAAAACAAAAAAAAAACAAACACAAAAAAAAACAUAAAAAAAAAACACAAAAAAACAACAAAUGAAUCAUCCCGAUUGGCAGGGCAAUCAAAGAUUUUAAAUGAUAGAAUGUAGAGUUAUUAAGUAACUUAUUACAGCUAGGAAACAAUAAGUUUGUAUGCAUGUACAUUGGCAUCGGCAGUUCAAUUAUACACGUAGCUUAGUGAUGAAUAGUAUUGGCGCUGCAGGCUGCAGAGCAUCAUUGGUUUUGGCAUGCAGGGCGAUUCUGCCAGACAACCCCCUAAUUAAAAGCGGCUAGUUUCGCUCGUGUGUGGGGGCAAUCAUUGAGUACCAGUACAGUGCAACUUCCACCAACCAAACGAUUGCCAUAUAGUG